rnacentral:rRNA from 1 species
CCUACGGGUGGCAGCAGUGAGGAAUAUUGGUCAAUGGACGAGAGUCUGAACCAGCCAAGUAGCGUGAAGGAUGACUGCCCUAUGGGUUGUAAACUUCUUUUAUAUGGGAAUAAAAUGUUCCACGUGUGGGAUUUUGUAUGUACCAUAUGAAUAAGGCUCGGCUAACUCCGUGCCAGCAGCCGCGGUAAUACGGAGGAUCCGAGCGUUAUCCGGAUUUAUUGGGUUUAUAGGGAGCGUAGGUGGAUUGUUAAGUCAGUUGUGAAAGUUUGCGGCUCAACCGUAAAAUUGCAGUUGAAACUGGCAGUCUUGAGUACAGUAGAGGUGGGCGGAAUUCGUGGUGUAGCGGUGAAAUGCUUAGAUAUCACGAAGAACUCCGAUUGCGAAGGCAGUUCACUGGACUGCAACUGACACUGAGGCUCGAAAGUGUGGGUAUCAAACAGGAUUAGAUACCCUUGUAGUC